CCUACGGGUGGCAGCAGUGAGGAAUAUUGGUCAAUGGGCGCGAGCCUGAACCAGCCAAGUCGCGUGCGGGAAGACGGUCCUAUGGAUUGUAAACCUCUUUUGUCGGGGAGCAAAAGACGCCACGUGUGUCGUUCCGAGAGUACCCGACGAAAAAGCAUCGGCUAACUCCGUGCCAGCAGCCGCGGUAAUACGUAGGGAGCAAGCGUUGGCCGGAAUUACUGGGUGUAAAGGGCGCGUAGGCGGGAGGAUAAGUUGAAUGUGAAAUCUAUGGGCUCAACCCAUAGCUGCGUUCAAAACUGUUCUUCUUGAGUGAAGUAGAGGCAGGCGGAAUUCAUAGUGUAGCGGUGAAAUGCGUAGAUAUUAGGAGGAACACCAGUGGCGAAGGCAGCCUGCCGCAGCGUUACUGACGCUGAAGCUCGAAAGCGCGGGUAUCGAACAGGAUUAGAUACCCGAGUAGUC
rnacentral:rRNA from 1 species